GGGGCAAUCUGGUAUAUGUGGUCAACUAUC
rnacentral:piRNA from 1 species